GAAGGAAGCUGGGAAGAAGCGAGCGAGCGGGGGCGCGAGGCGUUUACCUGGAGGCAGCGGCUUGGGCGCGCAGAGCGGCCGCCGCACCCCCGCACCUGCGGCCAUGGAUGAGGAGCGCGCCCUCUACAUCGUCCGGGCCGGCGAGGCGGGGGCUAUCGAGCGGGUCCUGAGGGAUUACAGCGAUAAGCAUAGGGCUACUUUCAAAUUUGAGUCAACAGAUGAAGAUAAAAGAAAGAAACUCUGUGAAGGCAUAUUUAAAGUCCUUUUAAAGGACAUCCCAACAACAUGUCAAGUGUCCUGCCUGGAAGUUCUCCGCAUUCUCUCCAGAGACAAAAAGGUUUUAGUUCCUGUAACAACCAAGGAAAAUAUGCAGAUACUGCUGCGACUAGCCAAGCUAAAUGAGUUGGAUGAUUCUUUGGAGAAGGUGUCAGAGUUCCCAGUUAUUGUGGAGUCAUUAAAAUGUCUUUGUAAUAUAGUGUUCAACAGUCAGAUGGCACAGCAGCUCAGCCUGGAACUUAACCUUGCUGCAAAGCUCUGUAACCUCCUGAGAAAGUGCAAGGACCGAAAGUUUAUCAAUGACAUUAAGUGCUUUGAUUUGCGUUUGCUCUUCGUCCUGUCACUUUUGCACACCGACAUCAGGUCACAAUUGCGCUAUGAGCUCCAAGGACUACCACUGCUAACCCAGAUCUUGGAAAGUGCCUUUAGCAUCAAGUGGACCGAUGAAUAUGAAUCGGCCAUAGACCGUAAUGGACCUCCUCUCUCACCUCAGGAGACAGACUGUGCCAUUGAGGCCCUCAAAGCUCUCUUCAAUGUGACAGUAGACAGUUGGAAGGUGCAUAAAGAGAGUGAUUCUCAUCAGUUUCGUGUCAUGGCAGCUGUCCUUCGCCAUUGUUUACUAAUCGUAGGUCCAACUGAAGACAAAACAGAAGAGCUACACAGCAAUGCAGUCAACCUUUUAAGCAAUGUUCCGGUGUCUUGUUUGGAUGUUCUCAUUUGUCCAUUAACCCAUGAAGAAACAGCCCAAGAAGCAACGACACUAGAUGAACUGCCCAGUGAUAAAACAGCUGAGAAAGAAACAGUUUUGAAAAAUAAUACCAUGGUAUACAAUGGUAUGAAUAUGGAGGCCAUUCACGUUUUACUCAGUUUUAUGGAGAAGAGAAUAGACAAGGGAAGCAGCUAUAGAGAGGGUCUAACUCCAGUUCUCAGCUUAUUAACAGAAUGUUCCCGAGCCCACCGAAACAUCAGAAAAUUUCUCAAAGAUCAGGUUUUACCACCAUUGAGGGAUGUGACAAAUCGACCUGAAGUUGGUUCAACUGUGAGAAAUAAGCUGGUGCGCCUCAUGACACAUGUUGACCUGGGAGUCAAGCAAAUUGCUGCUGAAUUCCUUUUUGUCCUUUGCAAAGAGAGAGUGGACAGCCUGCUGAAAUACACUGGCUAUGGGAAUGCUGCAGGACUGCUGGCCGCCAGGGGCCUCCUGGCAGGAGGAAGAGGAGAUAAUUGGUAUUCAGAGGAUGAGGACACAGACACUGAAGAAUACAAAAAUGCAAAACCAAACAUUAAUCUUAUCACUGGUCAUUUAGAGGAACCAAUGCCAAACCCCAUAGAUGAAAUGACAGAAGAACAAAAAGAAUAUGAAGCCAUGAAACUUGUCAACAUGCUUGAUAAACUUUCCAGGAGAGCAGAUGUGAAGGACCUGCACCAGGAUGGUGGUUAGCAACAGUGGCCCGUGCCAAAGCACUUACCAAAGUGAUGACUAAGACCCUGUCAUUAAUUCCAUGUGUCAAUACUGCCCUGUAGUACACAGAGCAGACAAGAAAGAAGAGCCCUUGAAAACAAGGGAAUGAUUUUUGAGUCGUUAUCAAGCUAAGUGGCAAGCGGGAAGCUGAAACUCGUGUAGUUGAACAUUCUUGGAGGCUUAUCUCUUCCCUGGCCAGAUGCCUGAUCAGAUGAGAAGCCCGCCAUGAUACUGUCACAGUGCCUAGAAUGGGCUCUUUAUCCAGUAGACAUCACUGUACUUUUUGAUGAUAACGAGGGCAGUCUUAACUUGUGUUAAGGCCUGUGUGUAGCAUUGAAGAGAGGAGUUGCUUAAACCAAUGGGACUAAAACCUGAUGGGACAAUAACGCCUUUGGAGGAAGCACUCAACCAGUACUCUGUCAUCGAGGAGACCAGCUCUGACACAGACUAAAAGCAUCACCUGCUCAACUCUCAAUAUUGCUUUUAUCAGCAUCUUUUCUCUGUAGCUCCAGGGGAAUCUUUUCUCUAAAACAUUUAUGCCCUUGCUUUGGCUAGAAACACAUUAACUGGUUUACUCAUUGAGAAUCCAGCAUAUUUAAGAAGUGAUCUUGUGUUUUUGCGAUAUUGAGGCAUUCAUACAGAGCUGCAGUUAGACGGAGUUGCAGGGACUAGGACCAGAAAAAAAAAAUUCCAUUCUGUCAAGAUGGAACUGAAGGACUUCGCUCUAUACAGCAGCCCUGGUUGAAUCUGGCAGUUCUGUUUGCCAAGAUUCUUAACAGAAGAUUUAGCCGUGUCCUUCCUCUCACUUGUGUGAGCUGCCCUUUCUGAAGCUCUCCAGAGACAGAGGCACGUGAAAAGCAGAACAAGCUGCUAAAAAGGGGCUGAGGCAAGUGACUUGUUAGAUCAGGACUGAGUGAAUGGAAGCCAAGCAGCUGCUCCAUAAACCUGGCCCCACUCUUCACUCCAUUUCAAUUUUGUAUAAAUCUGUAGAAAUGCGCACACACGCGCACACACACAGCCCCAGACUUGCAAACUGAUUACAUUCAAAGAGUUUGUAUGUCAGUUAUCUAGAACUUCAGAAUACAUUUCUCCCUAUAAAGUUAUAAAUGAUGGUUUAGUUCUGAGGCAGCUACGAAUGCCUAUUUAUUCCCUAAUAACCUGAACACUAGUACCAUAGAACUAAACCCCCAUCUGUAUCACUGCAUGGGGAGCAUGCAUUCUGAGGUCUAACGUAGGGGUGCCAGGAAAAUAUACCCUCCAGCCUGGGGUACCAAGGGAAUGGAGACCCCCUGGGUACUGGGAGUUCUUUUGUGGCCUCUGCUGAGGAGGGGGGAGUCAGCAGCACCCAUUUGUACAUAUAGGUCAUACAUGUGUCACAUGUUUUAAACUGGGGACUGUGUGUGCUUGUGUGUGUAUUCUGCCUUUCUACCAUAUGUGAUCAGUUUAAUGGUAACUUUAUUUAUUUAAAAAAGAAACACAGAUAGUUACUGUUAAACUGAUUAAGGCUGUUUAUUUUUACUUUUAGAAUUGGUCAUAUGAAGAAGUAGCAAAUGAAUCAUGCAAUAGACAGUGGGCCUAGUUAAUCAAUGGCUAAAGUUGAAAAGGGGUUGGUUUCCUUUUAUAUAUAUAUGUAUGUAUGUAUGUAUGUACAUACAUAUAUAUAUACACACAUAAUGUGCUUAACCACUGCCUUUUAAAACUUUAAAUUAAAUAAAACGGGGUUGAUUCAAUUUAGCCAUCUGUGUGUGUUUCUUUAUAGAUACAUGGGGUAAACAAUACUAUUUCACAGUUUAUGCUUUUUUAAACUGCUUUUACAUCUAUUAUCUCACUUAUAAUAAAUAGCCUUUCUAAGGAUAAAGUACAUGAAGUGUUAGUGAAAAUGUCGUUUAUCCAGAAGUCACUUCUCUGACAAAAGUACAAAUCAGGAAUUCAGUUUUAAAAGGCUUUUGAGCUACCAAAAGAGAUGUCAAAGUUUCUUACAGUUCAUUUAUAGGAGAAAUCCUCAAGAAUCUCACCUUUUGCCUCUUUUCUAAAAUUUGCAUAUAUUUCUAACAUGUUUAGCUAUCUGACUUUCAAGCCCACAAAAAAAAAAAAAAUGGCAAAGGAGGAGGCUGUUAGAUAGAAGGCAGACCUACUGAAAGCAGCAAAAAGCCAAGUGAAAACCAGAUAGGAAUGUGGGGAGAAUGAAAACUACGCGAGGCAUCAUAAGUCUGGGACCAUCUGUUUCCCAAAGGACAUUCUAGUUGACCCAGAAAGUAUCUGUACAACAGUAUGGCCUAUAAACUGAUUCUCAUGAUGACCUUGUAUUUCUUUAAAAAAAAAAAAGUUAAAUCCAGAAUACUCUAUAAAAAGAAUACAUUUUAGGAUUUCCAUCCAAAAUAGUUGGAGUAGAAGUUAUGGGUAACCCAUGUUUUAACAGUAAAUAAAAUGAAACUUCGUGAUUCAUAAUUUUAGAUUAAGUGAAAAAAAGUUUAGAAAAAAGAAUUUUAAGUAUUUUUGUUACUUCAUUCUACAAAUGCAUUUUUAAAGUAUUUUUAUAAUUUCUGCAAUCAAAUAGUUUUGGCAUGAGUGUCGGCUUACCUAAAUGAAGACAUGUUUAAUGAAAUAACGUCUUGCCAGCUUUAUGCAGAGUGUUUGAACAGUCCUGUUUAAGUAGCUGUGCUCUUCUGCUUUCAGUGAGUUCUGUUUCAUUUUGAGUUUCCCCAUGCUGGGCACUAAGCUUUGUUUUGAAGAGAAUUUGCAGAGGGAGAAGAUGAAAGUGACCUCAUCUUGCACAUGGAAAGAGAACCAACAUCUGUUGAUUGCUUGCUCUGUGCUGGGCUUUUUAUGUACCUUAUCUUGUGUAACCUCAUCACAUCUCAUAUUAGAGAUCAUCUCUGGAAAGCAAGUAAGUUACCCAACAUCACACAGCAAGUAAGAAUCCAGCUCUGGCCGGCCUGACCCCCAGCACCUCUCCUUCCCUUCACACUGCCUGCCUGGGUCCAUAUUGUGCCCCCUUAUGACUCUGGAAUGCUGGGGUGUGGUAAUUCUCAGGCCAUUUAAAGCAAUAACUAUUUCAGCAGAACUGGUUUAAAGAACUUAUUAAGCAGGGAGGUGACCUGAAUGAAGUUGAAAUGUGAGUAGGAAACUUGCUCAGUUAGUUAGUACUGGAUUUCAAAUAAGGACCUGGAAUCCUUUAGGUUAGAGAUUAGGGCUGCAGGCUCCCCCGCCCCCCACCCUGACCCUUGACAUCUGCCAGGGCCAGUAGCCUGCAGCAGGGAUGGCGAGAAUACACUGGCCAAUUGCACUCUGCAGGACCCUGUGUCCACAUCCCUCCUGACCUUUAAAACAGGGUAUGGGGGAGUAAGUUCUAAAACAAGGCACUUGAGCUGCUGCUUUAGAGUAACAAUCAACAGACACUUGAGGCCCUUUCACACACCUGAUGGUCCUGGGAGGUGGACAGGAUGGAUAUUAUUGUCCCUCCUUUAUAAAUGAAGACAUAGGCAGAGGUGGUACAAAUACUCAACAUCCCUUUACUACCAUUAGUGUUGCCACCUCCCAGCACUAGGUGUCUCUUAUGUUGACUUUCCUUCUCCCCCUCCCCAUUAUAAAAGUAAUAUAUGUUCGUUGUGGAAAGUUUGGAGAAUAUAUAAAAUAAAGUUAAUAAUUCACCCCAAAACCCACCACCUGAGAUAAUCUCUGUUAAUGUUUUGGUGUAUUUCCAUCCUGUGUUUUUUCUAUGCAUAUAUAAUUUAUUUUACUACAAGAUUGGGAUCAUGCUGUAUUUACAGAUUUGUAUCCUGCCUUCUUUAACAUAUUGUAAGCAUUUUCCCAUGUCAAUAAAUAUUCUUCAAAAAUUAAUGGCUAUAUGAUAUUCCAUUAUAUG